AAAAUUAACAGUGUAGACUAGAAUUAGAUGUAAAAAAUGAAAGGAGAAACGAGUGAAUUAAAUAACCUUAGGAAAAUCAAUUGCAGAUUAGUCAAGUUUGAAAUGGCUAGCAAGAGCCUGGCCUGUGUCAGACUCUUUGCUAUAAGCUAGUUCAAUGGCGUAUAAGAGGAGAGUUAAAAUAGCACUUACCCAACGCCAAAUUUCAGCGGAACACAAUAUUUGAUUCACUGGAGAAGUGAAAGAGGGUGUUGGGUAUAAGUGCUGUAAUAGAAGGUUUGUAUAGACUGCAAUAAGUAUACAUGGAGAAAGAAUACUCCACAUACCCUGUUUAGAAGUUCGACUGUACUCGAGAAAGAUGAUGUUAUUUUGUAUUGCAGGUAAAAUUCUUG